rnacentral:tRNA from 1 species
AAUAAGAAACAAUUAUUUGUAUUUAGUUUCGACCUAAAAUUUUGGUAAAUUUACCCUUAUUU